AAUCCAUUGACAGAUACACCCACGGUGAUCAGCAAGUCUGUCACCACCAGCAGCAGCUGUUUCCCCUAGGGGCCAUCAUAGUUGUCAGGAAGUCUGAAUCACAAGGGCAGCAAGUGAAACAAGAGGCAGGUUAUACAUCAACACAUGGAUCUUAUGUCCCUCAAAGCUAUGGCUUGGAUUUCUUCCCAUCACCGACACACAUUCCCUGAGAAUUCUGGUAACAUUGUUACAUCAUUGAAGUACCAUGGAGAUCUGGUAGCUGAAACUGAUCAAGCCUUGUUCUGUAUCAUUGUAUAAAAUUGCAUGUCCCAG